UUGCACAUUUCACUGACCUGCUUUUGCUCCUGGGAGCAGUGUUAAUUUCUUACAUGCCGUACAAAUAGUUGGAGGUUAAUUAGCAGUAUUAUAACUAAAUAGUAAUGAUGCCAGUCUGCUUCAAACAAAA
rnacentral:snoRNA from 1 species